rnacentral:miRNA from 1 species
CGUCGUGGCGGUGCUGGGCACAUUGGAAGCUGGUGGCUGGGACAGCAGUCCGGGUCCCCUGCAUUCUCCUCUGUCU